GCGGACGGGUGAGUAACGCGUGGGAACGUACCCAUUGGUGGAGAAUAACCUGCCGAAAGGUGGGCUAAUUCUGCAUAAUCCCGCAAGGGAAAAGGGCUUAACCGCCCGCCGAUGGAGCGGCCUGCGUCUUAUCAGCUUGUUGGUAGGGUAAAGGCCUACCAAGGCUAUGACGAGUAGCUGGACUGAGAGGUCGGUCAGCCACAAGGGAACUGAGACACGGUCCCUACACCUACGGGUGGCAGCAAUCGGGAAUUUUGGACAAUGGGCGAAAGCCUGAUCCAGCGACGCCGCGUGGGGGAAGAAGGCCUUCGGGUUGUAAACUCCUUUUGGCCCGCAUAAUGCGGGGCAGAAUAAGCACCUGCCAACUACGUGCCAGCAGCCGCGGUGAUACGUAGGGUGCAAGCGUUAUCCGGAUUUACUGGGCGUAAAGGGUUGCGUAGGCGGCAUGUUAAGUCAAUGUUCAAAUACUUCCGCUUAACGGAAGAAAGGGCGUUGAUACUGGUAUGCUUUUGAGGCUCACAGAGGUAGCCGGAACUUGCAGUGGAGCGGUGAAAUGCGUUGAGAUUGCAAGGAACACCGAUGGCGUAGGCAGGCUACUGGGUGAGAUCUGACGCUGAUGCACGAAAGCUAGGGGAGCGAAGCGGAUUAGAGACCCGCGUAGUCCUAGCCGUAAACGAUGGACACUAGAUGACUGUCCCGCCGAAGGCGGGAAAUUAAACGAUGGACACUAGCUGGCUGCCUUAUGGUGGCUGGCGCAAGCUAACGCGUUAAGUGUCCCGCCUGGGGAGUACGGCCGCAAGGCUAAAACUCAAAGGAAUUGACGGGGACCCGCACAAGCGGUGGAGCAUGUGGUUUAAUUCGAAACAAAGCGAAAAACCUUACCAGGGUUUGACAUCCUAACUGCACUCCUUUGGAAACAAAGGAUUUCUUCGAGAGUGUUAGGACAGGUGCUGCAUGGCUGUCGUCAGCUUGUACCGUGAGGCGCACCCUUAAGUGGGUUAACAAGCGCAACCCCCAUCCCCCAUGUUAAAUUUCAUGGGAAACUGCCCGCUAAAAGCGUGGAGGAAGGUGGGGAUGACGUCAAGUCAGCACGGCCCUUAUGUCCUGGGCUACACACAUCCUACAAUGGGUGUUAACAACGGGUUGCAACUUNNNNCAAGGUGAAGCUAAUCCCUUAAAAGCAUCCUCAGUUCGGAUUGAGGGCUGCAAUUUGCCCUCAUGAAGCUGAAAUCGCUAGUAAUCGCGGAUCAGCAGGCCGCGGUGAAUACGUUCUCAGGUCUUGUACACACC
rnacentral:rRNA from 1 species